rnacentral:lncRNA from 1 species
GUUUCUCUCAUUCAUGCUUUUUAUUGCUUGAUUAUUUAACAUGUUCAUACUCCCAUGCAUUGUUUAAAUGCUCCAUUAUUUGAUUCAUCUGUUAUCUUUUAUACUUGUUUCUCUCAUUCAUGCUUUUUAUUGCUUGAUUAUUUAACAUGUUCAUACUCCCAUGCAUUGUUUAAAUGCUCCAUUAUUUGAUUCUUUGGUUUGAUUAUAUAUUGUUCAUUUAUCCGAUCUGAUUGAUAACUG